rnacentral:rRNA from 1 species
AUACGAAGGGUGCAAGCGUUAAUCGGAAUUACUGGGCGUAAAGCGCGCGUAGGUGGUUCGUUAAGUUGGAUGUGAAAGCCCCGGGCUCAACCUGGGAACUGCAUCCAAAACUGGCGAGCUAGAGUAUAGCAGAGGGUGGCGGAAUUUCCUGUGUAGCGGUGAAAUGCGUAGAUAUAGGAAGGAACACCAGUGGCGAAGGCGACUGCCGGGGCUAAAACUGAGGCGGAGGUGCGAAAGCGUGGGGAGCAAACAGAAUUAGAUACCCGGGUGGUCCACGCCGUAAACGAUGUCGACUAGCCGUUGGGAUCCUUGAGAGCUGAGUGGCGCAGCUAACGCAUUAAGUCGACCGCCUGGGGAGUACGGCCGCAAGGUUAAAACUCAAAUGAAUUGACGGGG